CCCGCCCAUUGGAACAGUUUUUCACGGGAACCGAAUAUUACACAACACCGGCGUGAAUUACAUUUGUGGUCUUUGGUGUGAAGACAUGAGCGUACCGCUUAUACUCCGAGUCAAGUGACCAAUUUUAGGUUCAAACUCUUCUGAAUGUCAUGGAGAACUUUGUGGUUUACAUUCCCAAGGAAGCAUGUGUCAAGAACAUGCCUCUGCAGUCCCUGUCCAGCUCCACAGCCAGGAAGAUCAGUGUCGCUCUGUCUCCACAUGGAUCAGAGAAACAGAUGCAGCAGACUGUGACGUGGAUCUGUCCGGUUGAGCUGCGGGAAAAAGAAGUGGCUGUGGGCAAGGACAGCAGAGAACUGGUCCCACUGAGCCAGAGGCAGCUGGUCUCCAAAAUAACUCCAGGUCAGUUUUCGCUGCCUGUUGUGAGUUCCAGCAUCACUGCCUUUAAGGCCUUAAGAACGAUUUUAAAAGCACAUAAGCCUGAAAUACAAUUUUCCGGGCUGGAAAAUGAAGCUGCCUCUCUGCCCAGCAUCAGGGAUUCCGAUGUUCGGCGAAAUGCCAUGAUUCUAUAUAAUGGCCAGAUCUUCCUCUCAGUGAGGCGAGUGAGAUUACAAAACUCUCCCUCAGCAGCUCCAGCUGUGUGUCCUGUUUCUCCCAGUCAACAGAUCCAACUAAACACAUCUAGAUGUCAAGCACAAACACCCCUGGAAACUUCACCCAGACCACAGCAGAGCAAGAGUCAGGAUGUUCAGACUCCAGUCAGAGAUCUUGACAUUAAUACACAGAUUUUACCUCUUUUGCACAAAGUCUCUGAAGAAAUGCCUGAACAAUGCUGUACAGACAAAGAGUGUCAAAAGGAAGAAGAGUCCAGGUCACGGAGUAGCACACCUAAAUCUCCUGAGGAUCUGGAGUCUGGUCAGGAGACGUCUAGUUCCCUGCCCAGUAUCCUCCAGCAGAUCAACCACACAUCUUCUGGCAUCUCAGAACAGCCCGAAGCAGCAGGAGGACAAAGAGAGACAUCCGAGGAUGACAAUGAGCAUUUAGAGGGCGCAUUGCUCCCCAGGGCUGAGAGCUGUCUUGCAUUUGAUUUUGAACAGUUGGCCCAGGAAGAGAGAAUCAACCACCUACGAGCUCGGCUGAGACAGAAGGAAGCAUCACUCAGCAUCUUUAACUUAAAGCCGACAGAUCAGCUUUAGAGGAUCCGACUGUGCCAAAGAUGUCUGUUCAGGAGGUAUAAAAGUUCCUUGUGCAUCAUAUUAUUUGAGCAGCAGAAGAAUGUCAUAAAGCUUAAAGGAAUAGUUCACUCAAAAAUGAAAAUUCAGUCAUCAUUUAGUCACCCUGAAGUUGUUCCAAAUCUGAAUGACUUUCUUCCUUCUGCUGAACACAAAAGAAGAUAUUUUUGAAGAAUGUGGGUAGUUGCUGGUCCGCAUACUAUGUAGUAAAUGAUGACAGAAUUUCCAUUUUUGGGUGAACUAUCCCUUUAAGAUGAAUAAGUUUGUUAAUUCAGUUGACAGCACAAAUAUUGUCAUUUAAUUAAAAUAUAAAUGCAAAAUAAUGAUUUUCACACCAUAAGAGACACAUUUAAGAAUAGUAUGUGUUUGUGCAAUAAAUACGGUGAAUAAUUUGUGAAUAGCAAUGUUUGGUUUAGCUGCUAAAAUUAAAAUGCUUCAUUCAUUCUCAGUUCAAAUAAAAGGAUUUAUGUCAUACUGAGCAUUAGUCAUUUCAUUAUGUAAACCAACUGCUGUACAUCGUACCUCCAGUUAAUAAUGUACCCACACAUCUGACUGUUAACAUAACGUUUUGUCUUUAUUUUAUCUGUAAGUGCACUCUAUCUGAUUGGCUCUGAAUGCGUUCCUACAUCUAUCUUUGUUUCAUUUAUCAUUCCAGCUGAAGCCUACACACUCCAAAAUCACUUAACCGGCUUCUUGCUGAGAUAUACUCGUGAUAACUUCUUCCUCCAUUGUCGUCACUCUUAAGAUGGAUUUCAAUGUCAUGCUGCAGAAAAUCUCCAAACCAGCGU
ensembl:lncRNA uncharacterized LOC107699216